AAAAUUCCUAGCAUAGAGCCUGGGAACUCAGUAAAUGUUUGUUGAAUGAAUGAAUGAUAAAGAAGGAAGCUGAGUUAAGUUGAAAAACCCUGGAUGUAAAAUCUGUGUCUCUGGCCUGACCCUUACCAGCAAGGUGGCCUUAGGCAAAGCUGCACUCCCUCUCUGAGCCUCUGGAUCAGGACCGGAAAAUAGGACCAUUUCAUCCUCCUUGUAGGAUGAGGAGAUAGUCAAGUGACAAGAAAAGGAGGCGUGAACCCCAGGCCACACGGUGAGGCGGGAGGGGAUGCUCUCCUCGAGAAAGGGCUGAGUCCUGUGGGUGCCCCGGAGCCCAGAGUCUUCCUGAGCGUCUGAAAACUGAACUGAAGAGCCAAGCCUUCUCUCAAGAGUAGCUCGCCCAGCUCAGCCCCAACACCAGGCCACAGAACUCUGCAAUGAGGAAGCUCCAUCUCAGCACCCUGAACUCACAGAGCCCCUGUGAGCAAAUCAGAGCCCAAGAGGCAGCUAGCUGGUCAGGCUCUCGGAGCAAGGGCAGCAGGUCAGCCCUUGGGCUCUCAGCCCCAGCCACCCUUAGAAUCACCGGAAAGCAUGUGAAAUGCAGAUGCUCAGGUCCCACCCCAGACCAAGUCCAUCAGAAUCUUGGGAGACAGUGAUUUAGCAGCCAGAUCUGCUCUGAGCUACAUGAGGCACUUGUUUGUUGGCAUCAGGCUGAGCUAGGAGACACUCCCAUUGCUGUGGGGUACACCCCUCCCCAAGCAUCUGACCUUAGAGAUCUUUCUCUAACGUUAUCCAGAUUCCCCAAAUAAUCCUCAAAUGUGCUACUUCGAAUGCAUACACCUAGUGACGCUGGAGGGGACGAGGGUUUCCGGAGGCCAGGAUAGCGUUCACUUAAUGCCCUGAUUUUUUUGUCCCGUAUCUAAUGGGAUAAAAUGAAAGGAAAGAAAGUAAUAAAGAUAUAAAAUCAAAAAAUUAUCUGGGACUCAUGGACACAAGUCUCUCCAUAAAAAGGGCCAGAAGAGAAGUGGAAAAUAGACCAUACUGGGCACAUUAUUGUAAAACUUCACAACACCAGGGUUGAGAAAAUCCUCAAACCAUGGUGCGUAGAGUGCGGAGAAAAGGAAUCAGAAUGAUGUUGACAUUCUCAACAGCAAGUCCAAAAACUAGAAGGUCAUGAAGCGAUGUCUCAGCAUCCUGAAGGAAAACUAUUUUAGUACCAAUGCAGUCCAGGGGGAGGGCAGAGUGAGACAUUUUCCAAUUAAAAAAAAAUAGAAAAAUUAUUUCCCAGACAUCCUUUCUCUAAAAUUAGGAAUUAAACCAAGAAAUAAGACAUGAAGCCCAGGCACAGUGGCUCACGCCUGUAAUCCCAGCACUUUAGGAGCCCAGCCUCCCAGAUUGCUUGAGCCCAGGAGUUCAAGACCAGCCUGGGCAACAUGAGGAAACCCUAUCUCUACAAAAAAUUCAAAAAUAUGGGCUUGGUGGUGCAUGCCUGUGCUCCCAGCUACUCAGGAGGCUGAGGUGAGAGGGUUACUAGAGCCCGGGAGGUUGAAACUGCAAUGAGCUGUGAUUGUGCCACUGCACUCCAGCUUGGGUGGCAGAGUGAGACUCUGUGUCAGAAAGAAAAGAAAAGAAAGGAAGGCAGUUAAAAGAAAAGAAGAAAGAAAGAGAGAGAGAGGAAAGGAAGGAAGAAAGAAAGGAAGAAAGAGAAAGAAAG
rnacentral:lncRNA from 1 species